AAGGCAACGUUUAUGCUUUUCCUAAAGGGACAGUGACAGGCUGCUUCUUCAUAGUCUGCAUUUACCCUUGAGCGUUCAUCUCCGCAUCACCUUUCUCUUCUGGGACAGAUUUGUAAAACCAGUUGCAUAUGGUUGUUUACCAGUAACAUAUAUCUAAAUGCACCUGGAAGUUGUUGGAAGUUUCCUAUCCAUGACCGUUAUUCUCAUAACAUAGUCUUCGACCCCAUUGACUUUUAUUAUACGGAAGCAUUUGGCCAGGAUAUUCUUCAAAACAGACGAAAGAAACGACAUGAGGACGUUUAAAGUCGUCUCCAGACCUGGGACGGCACUCAGGAGUGAGAUCCCCCCUUUCACCACCACCCACCUUCACCCUGUCAUUAGUCUGGAACGUGGAGAGAUUAUCAAAGCAGCAGUGAUGCCAUGGUAGCGCCUGGUGGCCAGACAGCGGGUAAAACACGGCAUCUGUGUGGAGGAAGAGGGCUCUGAAUCCCCAUCAUUUCCUUUCUGCAGGUGAAAGAUCUGGACUGCAGGCAGGCCAAUUCAGCACCCAGACUCUUCUACGAUGAAGCCAUGCUGUUGUAAUAGCUGCAGUAUGUGGUUUUGCAUUGUCCUGCUGAAAUACACAAGGCCUUCCCUGAAAUAGACGUCGUCUGGAGGGGAGCAUAUGUUGCUCUAAAACCUCAGCAUUCAUAGUGCCUUCCAAAACAUGUAAGCUGCCCAUACCGUAUGCACUUAUGCACCCCCAUACCAUCAAAGAUGCUGGCUUUUGAACUGAACGCUGAUAACAUGCUGGAAGGUCUCCCUCCUCUUUAGCCUGGAGGACACGGCAUCCGUGAUUUCCAAUAAGAAUGUCAAAUUUGGACUUGUCUGACCAUAGAACACUUUUCCACUUUGAAACAGUCCAUUUUAAAUGAGCCUUGGCCAACAGGACACGAUGGCGCUUCUGGACCAUGUUCACAUAUGGCUUCCUUUUUGCAUGAUAGAGCUUUAGUUGGCAUCUGCAGAUGGCACGGCGGAUUGUGUUUACCGACAGUGGUUUCUGGAAGUAUUCCUGGGCCCAUUUAGUAAUGUCAUUGACACAAUCAUGCUGAUAAGUGAUGCAGUGUCGUCUGAGGGCCUGAAGACCACAGGCAUUCAAUAAAGGUCUUUGGCCUUGUCCCUUACACACAGAGAUUUCUCUGAAUCUUUUGAUGAUGUUACGCACUGUAGAUGAUGAGAUUUGCAAAGCCUUUGCAAUUUGACGUUGAGGAACAUUGUUUUUAAAGUAUUCCACAAUAUUUUUAUGCACUCUUUCACAGAUUGGAGAGCCUCUGCCCAUCUUUACUUCUGGGAGACUCUGCCUCUCUAAGACAUCUCUUUUAUAGCUAUCAAUUAACUUAAUUAGUUGCUAGAUGUUCUCCCAGCUGAAUCUUUUCAAAAUUUCUUGCUUUUUCAGCCAUUUGUUGCCCCCGUGCCAACUUUUUUUAAACCUGUA